AGCUCUGUGUUCUGUUCUCAGUCAUGGCUCAGCACCCAACCCAGAGGCCUGAGCUCCUUCAGACACCUUCAGCUGUGCACUCUUUCAUGGAACCAAUAGUCAUGGAAGAUGAUUUUUCUGUCUAGUUCAACACUUAGUUUCCUGCUGAAGACCAAGGCGUGGAAGCAGUGCUCUCCUGCAUUUCAAGUGGAUUCUUUACCAACUGAGCCACCAGGGAAGCCCUGAUAAACUUCUAGCCACAGAACAGUGCAACUCACUUCGAUGCCCUGAAGAGGAAUAAACAUGUACAUUUCAACUAGAAGCCAUCAGUCCUUUCAAGCUCUGUCUGUCUGUCAUGUGCAGAUGACCAGGGGAAGGGUCCUCAGGGGAGUACUCUGACAAUGGCCAUGAGAAACAUUUUAGAAUGACAUCAUUGUAGAAAC
ensembl:lncRNA